rnacentral:rRNA from 1 species
GGGGAGGCAGCAGUGGGGAAUAUUGCACAAUCGGGGGAAACCCUGAUGCAGCCAUGACCGCGUGUGUGAAGAAGGCCUUCGGGUUGUAAAGCACUUUCAGUAGGGAGGAAGGUAGUGUAGUUAACACCUGCAUUAUUUGACGUUACCUACAGAAGAAGCACCGGCUAACUCCGUGCCAGCAGCCGCGGUAAUACGGGAGGGUGCGAGCGUUAAUCGGAAUUACUGGGCGUAAAGCGCAUGCAGGCGGCCUGUUAAGUCAGAUGUGAAAGACCCGGGGCUUAACCUACGGAAUUGCAUUUGAAACUGGCAGGCUAGAGUCUUGUAGAGGGGGGUAGGAAUUUCAGGUGUAGCGGUGAAAUGCGUAGAGAUCUGAAGGAAUACCAGUGGCGAAGGCGGCCCCCUGGACAAAGACUGACGCUCAGAUGCGAAAGCGUGGGGAGCAAACAGGAUUAGAUACCCUGGUAG